UACGGAGGGUGCGAGCGUUGUCCGGAAUCAUUGGGCGUAAAGGGCGCGUAGGUGGCCCGGUCAGUCCGUGGUGAAAGCGCGGGGCUCAACCCCGCGUCGGCCAUGGAUACUGCUGGGCUUGAGCACUGUAGAGGCAGGCGGAAUUCCGGGUGUAGCGGUGGAAUGCGUAGAGAUCCGGAAGAACACCGGUGGCGAAGGCGGCCUGCUGGGCAGUGGCUGGACACUGACGCUCAUGCACGAAAGCGUGGGGAGCAAACAGG
rnacentral:rRNA from 1 species